UUUUCCUCUUUCCUUGUUCACGUCAGAGUUGGACAGAGAGAAAGGGAGCCUCGUUCAGCUCUUCCCCUCCACGUUUCCAUCAUGCAAAGGGCAACUCCUCCAAGAACAUCUCCUCAGACCUUCAAAAGAGAGAACCCAGGCCAUAAAUCGUCACUCACCCUUCUCUCCUCACCUUUCCUCUCGUCCCUGGACACAUCAGUCUGUUUACGAGCCCAAAAACACCUAGUUAGAGACCUCCGAUGAAAAAACUUUCUUCACCAAAGUUGUUCGUCUGUGUCUCCUCUAUUUAUCCUCAAAAUUUCAGCUCCGUCGGAGUCGAUUUGAGUCUUGUACACCGCUCGAAGCGGAAGCUGUUCUGAAACUAGCCUGUUCCGGAUUUCUGCUUGAAUUCCCUCUCUUGCUCUAUCCGAAUCCCUCACAUCUUACUUGAGACUGGUACAAACACUUGGUAAGAUUCUGGAACCAUCAAGUUCCCCUUUGUUUCCUCGAUUUUAGGCUCAAUACGUUCAAAACACCUCAUUCACACAUUGAGCAGUCUCUGUUUCACUUUGCAUGUUCGAGAUUGAGCGAACUUCUUGGCCUGUGGCUGGACUCGAUCCAAUCAGCUCUCUUUCCUGUUGAAAUCCUCAAGAGAAGCUCACUUUUUUUAUUAAUCUUUGGCUUGACAUCGUGGUGGAAUCUUGUGAAGUGGUGGUUGCUACAAAGUUGCAUUGAGGCCAAGUGCUGCAAGAGAAAGCUCGAGUUCCAGUUGAUGGGGAUGUAAGGAGAGGUCAGUUCCUCCUUGAGCCACCGGUGGUGGGCAGUGUGCACCAUGCCCUUGUUAUCUCCCCUUUGUCUCUAGCCUUGUGAUUAAUGAAUUUCGGAAAGUGAUUGGCUAGAUGGACGGUUGUGAUGGAAGUGUGAAAGAUGAUCAAUUGCCGUGGGAUUGUAAUUACGUGGUGACGAUCACGUGGAAGCGCAAACCGUUUGUUUUGCAGGCUGUUGUUGUCGAAGCUUGGGUACGGAGGAUAAUCCUUGGAGGCCAAAAUUUGUUUUGUUUAAAGUUUAUUUUAUUUGGCUUGUUUGAUUUUGUUAAAUUUUUGUAACGUUAUGUAUGGUUGAUGA